UGGACGAACAUACCUCUUGGCUCUAAGGUAGCUCCGUCUGCUUUUCCGAGGGAGCGAGGCUGAGUGGGGGGUCCCGCGGUCUCCCGGCCGUCGCCUUCCCACUGCUGGAGACAGAGCAACGGCGGGCGCAUCCUGCAUUCAGGUGGCAGUAUCGAAGCCAAAAGCUUCCAGAAGUGGUUUCUGAAAAAUAAGACUUGAAUAUAUAUGAGUAAGCAAACACAGGAAUCCGGAAAAUCCACAGGCUAUAGAAAUGUGUACAACAUUGCUGUGACAGGAGCAACAGCAUUGACCAUGACAAGACCCAGCAAGCAAUUUGAAGUCUCAAGAGGAAGGCUUAGCCUAGAAGAAGGACCAUGGAGAUGAUGCUCUGUGAAUCCAAUCCAUCAGAUUCACUCUCUGGCAAUGAACAGGAAUGAAGCGCAGAUAAGUCGUUAGAAAACUUUUCGAGGCAAAGCGCCUCGUGUGAUCAGAACAAAGCCGUUUUAUAAUCAGAUUUACCAAGCUGAGAGCGAGUUUCGGGCAAACGGAAGCUGCAGUGUUCUGUCACCAGGAAACACUGCAUUUUCCAGAAUCGGAGCCUGGUUUACUUCUGUUCUUCCUACAUCAUUGUUCCAAAACUUUUAUGAAGGACUUUCCAGUCUCAAUAGAAUUUUAACACUUUAUGUGUUUCAACAUCUCACUCCGUCAUUAGUUCCCCGAAAGCUCGCCCUAGAAUUUACUGGACUGUUCCCUACUGCCGAUCAUCCCUUCUGAAAGCAGAAGAGCAACUGUGUGUUGGAAUGAGGAGCUUAGUUGAGGAGCUCAAGCAUGACUUUCCAUGGUGGGAGGAAGAAGAGAAUGGAACUUGCUUCGAAGAAAAACAAGUUUUAUAAUAUGGGUUAUUUGCCUACUUUUUUGGUAAAUAAAUUUACACUUAUGAAUAUUUUUAGAAAGUAGAAAUUUGAAGCUAAAAUUCUCACUAGAGGAAUAGUUUUAAAGGGGUAUUUAUUAAUUGUUAUAUAAACUAGAGAUUUUUAGUAAGAAAUCAUGUAUUUUACAUUAAUAUGCUUAAAAAUGGAAAAGGAGUAAAAGUGAUUUAAAGAUAAAUGUCUAAUUAACUAAUUGCCAAAUAUGGUAAUAUAAUGUGUUUUUGUCAUCUUGUGCUGAAUUCAAUAAA